rnacentral:misc_RNA from 1 species
AAAGUCGUAACAAGGUUUCCGUAGGUGAACCUGCGGAAGGAUCAUUAUUGAAGCUUGGUGGGCUGUCGCUGGCUUUGAGAAGCAUUGUGCACGCCUGCUGACUUUAUCCCAUCCACCUGUGCACCUUUUGUAGUUUUGGGAGGUUGAAAGCGACAAGGAGAUGCUUUGCGCAAAGCUUGGAUUUCCUGAGUUGCACUCUCACUUCUCUGACUAUGUGAUUUUGCAUACACUAUGUAGCAUGUCGCAGAAUGUAUCACAAGGGCUUUCACGCCUAUAAAUGUCAAUACAACUUUCAGCAACGGAUCUCUUGGCUCUC